AUUGAACGCUGGCGGCAUGCCUUACACAUGCAAGUCGAACGGUAACAGGUCUUCGGAUGCUGCCGAGUGGCGAACGGGUGAGUAAUACAUCGGAACGUGCCCGAUCGUGGGGGAUAACGAAGCGAAAGCUUUGCUAAUACCGCCUAAGAUCUACGGAUGAAAGCAGGGGACCGCAAGGCCUUGCGCGAACGGAGCGGCCGAUGGCAGAUUAGGUAGUUGGUGGGAUAAAAGCUUACCAAGCCGACGAUCUGUAGCUGGUCUGAGAGGACGACCAGCCACACUGGGACUGAGACACGGCCCAGACUCCUACGGGAGGCAGCAGUGGGGAAUUUUGGACAAUGGGCGAAAGCCUGAUCCAGCCAUGCCGCGUGCAGGAUGAAGGCCUUCGGGUUGUAAAGUGCUUUUGUACGGAACGAAAAGACUCUGGUUAAUACCUGGGGUCCAUGACGGUACCGUAAGAAUAAGCACCGGCUAACUACGUG
rnacentral:rRNA from 1 species